rnacentral:lncRNA from 1 species
UCAGGAAGACUGGUACAUCUAAUAUCUUCUAGCAAUUAUGUUUUCACAGGUGUGUAUGUGUAUGUGUGUGUAGUAACCAAUUUUAAAUAGGGGAACCUGACUGAUGUUAGAACCCAAUUGAAAUUCAUUUUCUCUCUCCCUGUGUCUCUCUGUUUCUCCCCUCCCAGAGAAGUACCUCUUCUAUUUCUUAGUCAUGUGAUACUGGAUAAUUCCCUUUACCUUUCUGAGACUCAAUUUACUUUUACAUAAAAUGGCCUUAAUAAUGCUUUAUCUGUAUUACAGAUUCAAGUUUGACACUGGAUGGAUUGCUAUAAAAAUAUUUAAUCUCAUAUAUCACAUAAAGACAAAUAAUUACUCCUAAUCUUGAAUAGUGAAUACUUAUUGUUACUACUGUCAGUGCCUAUUCACCUGUGACUGCACUAGGAUAUUCAGACAGGUAAUAGAGGUAUGACAGAGAUCUGCUCUAGAUGACAAGCAGAUGUCUCAGUAAGUCAGGAGUAUAUAGAGUCAAGAGAACCUUGGAGAAAAUAAUAGAAGUCUAAGAGGCCAAGAGUUGAGAUCAAGCAUAGGGGCAACAGGAAUGCUCAACAUCAUUAAUUAUUAGAUAAAUGUAAAUCAAAACUACAAUGAGAUAACAUCUCAUGCUAGUCAGAAUGGCCAUUAUAAAAAAAGUCAAAAAAUAACGGAUGCUGGUGAGGUUGCAUCUUCAUGAUAGAAUUAUUUGUAUUCCUCUGCCUAUAUACCCAGUAAUAGGAUUGAUGGGUCAAAUCGUAGUUUGCAUUUAAGUCUUUGAGGAAUCUCCGUACUGCUUUCCACAGUGGUUGAACUUAUUUACACUCUGACCAACAAUGUAUAAGUGUUACCUUUUUUCUGAAACCUUGCCAGCAUCUGUUAUUUUUUGACUUUUUGAUAAUAGCCACUCUGACUGGUGCAAGAUGGUAUCUUAUCGUGGUUUUGAUUUGCAUUUGUCUAAUGAUCAGUGAUAUUGAGCUUUUUUAAUAUGCUUGUUAGCCAUAAGAAUGUUUUAUUUUGAAAAAUGUCUGUUGAUGUCCUUUGCCCUCUUUUUAAUGAGGUUGCUUUUCCCCUUGUAAAUUUGUUUAAGUUCUUUGUAGAUGCUGGAUACUAGACCUUUGUCAGACGCAUAGUUUGCAAAAAUGUUCUCCCACUCAGUAGGUUGUCUGUUUACUCUGUUGACAGUUUUUUUUGCUGUGCAGAAGCUCCUAAGUUUAAUUAGAU